UCGGUUUUUUGCCGAGGCUCGGCGAGAGGCCCUCGACGAGUUUGUUUGUACACUAUAAGAUACCCGGAGGUAAUAAGGUAAUCAGUUGCUAAAACGUGUAACCUUUCAGAUAUCUACUACCUCCCCUCCCAUCGCACUGGCAGCAUGGUCCUCAUCUUCAAAGACAACAAGUACUGGAUCAACAACCGCUACCAGAACACCAUCAACUGGACUUGCAGAGACCGCAAGCGCCUCGGCUGCAGCUCCUGCAUACAGACCACCGUUGAAGGCCGAUAUCUUAAGCAUAAGGGCUUUCAUAACCAUGCGGAUAAUUAUACUAAGUAUAACUUUAAUGAUUGAUC